rnacentral:rRNA from 1 species
UACAGAGGGUGCGAGCGUUGUCCGGAAUCACUGGGCGUAAAAGGCGCGUAGGCGGCCUGGUAAGCGUGCGGUGAAAGCCCGGGGCUCAACCCCGGGUCGGCCGUGCGAACUGCGAGGCUGGAGCACUGUAGAGGCAGGUGGAAUUCCGGGUGUAGCGGUGGAAUGCGUAGAGAUCGGAAAGAACACCAACGGCGAAAGCACUCUGCUGGGCCGACACUGACACUGAGAGACGAAAGCUAGGGGAGCGAAUGGG